rnacentral:rRNA from 1 species
CCUACGGGAGGCAGCAGUGGGGAAUAUUGGGCAAUGGAGGCAACUCUGACCCCUCCCCUCCGCUUUCCUUCUUCCUUUCUUCUUCUUUUCCCUUUCUUUUAUUUUUGAUGAACACAAUGACGGUACCCCAAUAGCAAGCCACGGCUAACUACGUGCCAGCAGCCGCGGUAAUACGUAGGUGGCAAGCGUUAUCCGGAAUGACUGGGCGUAAAGGGUGCGUAGGUGGUUUAGUAAGUUGGCGGUGUAAUUCCGGGGCUCAACCUCGGCGCUACCGCCAAAACUAUUAGACUAGAGUGCAGGAGGGGUAAGUGGAAUUCCUAGUGUAGCGGUGGAAGGCGUAGAUAUUAGGAGGAACAUCAGGGGCGAAGGCGACUUACUGGACUGUAACUGACACUGAGGCACGAAAGCGUGGGGAGCAAACAGGAUUAGAUACCCUUGUAGUC